rnacentral:tRNA from 1 species
CGGGGUAUGGCGCAGUUAGCUAGCGCGCACGCAUGGGGUGCGUGAGGUCGCCGGGGCAGGGCCGGCUACCCCGACUA